CGAAUAAGGAUCGGCUAACUCCGUGCCAGCAGCCGCGGUAAUACGGAGGAUCCAAGCGUUAUCCGGAUUUAUUGGGUUUAAAGGGUGCGUAGGCGGUUUGAUAAGUUAGAGGUGAAAUACCGGGGCUCAACUCCGGAACUGCCUCUAAUACUGUUGAACUAGAGAGUAGUUGCGGUAGGCGGAAUGUAUGGUGUAGCGGUGAAAUGCUUAGAGAUCAUACAGAACACCGAUUGCGAAGGCAGCUUACCAAACUAUAUCUGACGUUGAGGCACGAAAGCGUGGGGAGCAAACAGGAUUAGAUACCCUGGUAGUCCACGCAGUAAACGAUGAUAACUCGUUGUCGGCGAUACACAGUCGGUGACUAAGCGAAAGCGAUAAGUUAUCCACCUGGGGAGUACGUUCGCAAGAAUGAAACUCAAAGGAAUUGACGGGGGCCCGCACAAGCGGAGGAACAUGUGGUUUAAUUCGAUGAUACGCGAGGAACCUUACCCGGGCUUGAAAGUUAGUGACGAUUCUGGAAACAGGAUUUCCCUUCGGGGCACGAAACUAGGUGCUGCAUGGUUGUCGUCAGCUCGUGCCGUGAGGUGUCGGGUUAAGUCCCAUAACGAGCGCAACCCCUACCGUUAGUUGCCAUCAGGUCAAGCUGGGCACUCUGGCGGGACUGCCGGUGUAAGCCGAGAGGAAGGUGGGGAUGACGUCAAAUCAGCACGGCCCUUACGUCCGGGGCUACACACGUGUUACAAUGGUAGGUACAGAGGGCCGCUACCCCGCGAGGGGAUGCCAAUCUCGAAAGCCUAUCUCAGUUCGGAUUGGAGGCUGAAACCCGCCUCCAUGAAGUUGGAUUCGCUAGUAAUCGCGCAUCAGCCAUGGCGCGGUGAAUACGUUCCCGGGCCUUGUACACACCGCCCGUCAAGCCAUGGGAGCCGGGGGUACCUGAAGUGCGUAACCGCGAGGAGCGCCCUAGGGUAAAACUGGUGACUGGGGCUAAGUCGUAACAAGGUAGCCGUACCGGAAGGUGCGGCUG
rnacentral:rRNA from 1 species